rnacentral:rRNA from 1 species
AUGAAAUCCAAGUUUGCAGAUCCUCUCAUCAGCAUUGAUGGUGUCCUUUUAGAUGAAGAUGGCAAUAUGGCGCAGAUCAGUGUACCCAAAAAAUUUCAAAGACAAUUCCGCCCCUUACUCACAGAAGGACAUGUCUACAUCUUUAAUGAUAUUGCAGCUGUUGAUAUAAAAAACAAAACCCAUAUAUAUCACCACCAAGACUAUAUGUUGCAAUUCAAGCACAACACUAAGGUUCACCGACUUGAAACCAGAGGGACAAAUAUACCAAAGUUUUCCUUCAAUUUUUGUCCAUUUGAUAAUCUACCAGAAAAAGAUACUUUUGCAAAACCACUUCAAGAUAUAAUAGGAGUCAUUAGCCACGUUGGGCCAUUUGAUUAUGCAAGUCAGACAUCUACAAAUAAACUCAGGAAAAUCAAAAUUCGAAACCUAGAUGAACACACACAAGAAAUACGUCUUUGGGGCCACCAUGGUGAAACAUUUGAUGAAGAAGCUGUACUUAAAAAAUCACAAGAAGGCAUUGUAGUUGGCAUUUUUGCGGGUCUCACAGCUGGGAGCUUUCUAGGUGCCCUGCAUGCAUCCUCAACCUCUGCAACAAAAGUUUACAUUGACUUGGAUACAUCUGAAGUUAAAAACUACCAAACCAGGUCAGCGAUUAUCCUUUAUAUUUGCAACUACUACCUUCUUUUUCCAAAAUCUAACAUGCUGAUAUUGUUCUCACUGAUUCUUUUUGAAGCUAUAAAUGGGAAUCUCCAGCUCUGCGACAACAACUACCUCAGGUUAUGCAUUUAUCUCCUAUUCAAGCAGCAGGGAAAAUGUACACACUUCAACAAAUAUCAGAUAUGCCCACCUCAAAUUUUCAGGUCAACAUCAUCUUAUCUACCCUAUUAUUUGUAUAUCAGUGAACUUCUACAGAAAAUUCUCAAUGCACCCUUUUUGCAAACUCUUAGGAAGGAGCUACCUACAGCACCAUUGCGAAAGUUAAAUCUAUUGUACCUUCAACUAAAUGGUACUACAAAGGAUGCAAACGUUGUGAUAGAGGAUACAAGAACAACUCAGAUACUCCAACAUGCCUUUGCACAAAUUCAUCUCCAAAGCCAUUGUACGAUCUCUGUUUUUAUACAACAUUUGCCUUCAUUUACAUAUUCUGUUCCAUAUAAACGACUAUCAAAUUCUCUAGGUACAAGCUACCAAUAA